GGUCAGUGGUCACUGGUGCCCAAAAAGUGCCUAAAAUGUGCCUAAAAUGCCCCAAAAAGUGCCUAAAAAGUCUAAAACUCUCAAGAUCGGAAGAGCGGUUCAGCAGGAACCCCCCCCCCCCCCCCCCCCCCCCCCCCCCCCCCCCCCCCCCCCCCCCCCCCCCCCCCCCCCCCCCCCCCCCCCCCCCCCCCCCCCCCCCCCCCCCCCCCCCCCCCCAAAAAGUCUAAAAUUCUCAAUUUCCAGCAUUCCAACAACCCCGGGCUGACCCCACUUCCCACCCCAGGGACGGAUGAGGAGACAGAAAAAAUCUCAGAGAAUUCCCAGCGAAGCUUUAUUGAGUUCCAGGCUGUGCCAAGCACGACGGGAUCCCCCUGAGCCCCAUUCCCAAAGCUCCCCGUCCCAAUUUUGGGGUCCCGGUCCCGUUUUGGGGUCCCAGCUCGGUCCCAGUCCCGUUUUGGGUUCCCAGCUCUGUUCCAGUCCCUGUUUGGGUUCCCCUCUAGGUCCCAGUCCCAUUUUGGGUUCCCAGCACAGUCCCAGUCCCGUUUUGGGUUCCCAGCUCGGUCCCAGUCCCGUUUUGGGAUCCCAGCUCAAUCCUAGUCCCGUUUUGGGGUCCCAGCCCGGUCCCGGUCCCGUUUUGGGGUCCCAGCCGGUCCCGUUUGGGCCCCGCUCAGUCGCGGUCGGGCCCGCAGCGCUCGGAGCCGUGGCUGAUGCGAUGGGCGUCAUCCGCCAGCUUGCUCAGCACGACGGUGAACUCCUCGAAGCUCAGCUCCUUGUCCUUGUUCAGGUCGGUCUCCUGGAACAGUUUCUCCAUGUAGCCGGCCCGGUUCCUCUCCUAAAAUUGGGGACAGGGGUUGGGGUCACGUCCCUUCUCAGAUCCCAAAUUAAACCCCUUACCCUUAAUCCCAAAUUAAACUUUUCACCCUUAGCCCCAAAUUAAACCCCCUCAGUCCCAAAUUAAACCCCAGAGGGGACAGGAUUUUGUCCCAAAGCCCCGGGGCUGCCCAGGGCAGGAGGAAGAGCAAGGGUGACCCCUCCUGUGUCCCCCCUGUCCCCCAUCCCUGCAAGAUUGUCCCCCUGUCACCCAUCUCUCGGGAUUGUCCCCCGGUCCGCCCCGUCCCCGUUGUCCCCCUGUCCCCGUGUCCCCUGUCCCCCAUCCCCUCAGGAUUGUCCCCCUGUCCCGCCGUCCCCUGUCCCCGCUGUCCCUCUGUCCUCCCUGUCCCCAUCCUUUCAGGACCCCCCC
rnacentral:lncRNA from 12 species